rnacentral:rRNA from 1 species
UACAGAGGGUGCAAGCGUUGUUCGGAAUUAUUGGGCGUAAAGAGCUCGUAGGCGGUGUGUCGCGUCGGCCGUGAAAACCUGCAGCUUAACUGUGGGCUUGCGGUCGAUACGGGCAUCACUGGAGUUCGGCAGGGGAGACUGGAAUUCCUGGUGUAGCGGUGAAAUGCGCAGAUAUCGGGAGGAACACCAAUGGCGAAGGCAGCUCGCUGGGACGGUACUGACGCUGAGACGCGAAAGCGUGGGGAGCAAACAGG